AAUCAAUGUAAUAGAUACCAAUUCAGUUAGAAAGUUUUAGUAUUCAUGCUUAAACCCUCUUAAGCAACAAAGGGAUCUGCUCACCCAAUGAUACUCCACAACGAGGAUAAAGCAUUUACUGAUGAUUAGAGAUGGAGAAUCAAAAGUACAUAGAAACUUUUACAGGUCUAGAAUCCAGAAGGAGUGCAAGAAUGAAUGAAAGACAGAUCUUUGAAAAAAAUAAAAAAAAAGAAAAAGAAAACUUGAUAGGUAAAGUUUAUUUACAUUUCCAGUGCAUACAUUUUUAUAUGGAAACUAUAGAAUGAUGAGCGAAAUUUCAGACCACAAGUGGAAAAGAUAACUUAGAAACAGAGAACUUUCAAAAACUUUGACUACAAAACUUUGAUAUGUCAGCAAAUGAAGACAUAUCAACCUUUUUCCAAAAAUUGAAGAAUUGAACACAGCAGCUGCUCCCACGUGAAUAUACCUGCAACCAAGUUUCAACUUGAAAUCAACUAACAGGAUAGCAAAAGGUAUUAAUUAGAAUUACACUCUCCAGUCUCUACAGGAUUUUUUUUUUUCGCAGACCUAGUUCUCCGCUACACACGCAUAACAUGAGAUGUAUUAUUUAAUGUUCAGAACACCUUUGACAAACUUAAUAAAUAUGCAGUGCAGAAAGGAGAGUUAAACAACGUUUCUACAAAAGAAAGGGGAAAAAGAAAAGAGGAACAAAGCAGAAACUCAUAAGAUUUGUUCAUUCAUUUUGAUUUGUCAACCAAUAGUGCAAAUACAAAUGGCUCCUGUCUCUAAUCAUGGAAGGAAGGAAUUCCUCUCCAUCAAAUGUACAAACACACACAUGCAUGUGCAUGCACAGUGUACAACACUUCAACUCUUAAGUCAUUAAUGAUCCUAUCUUCUUUGAUAAAUUGCCUUACUUCCACAUUUUAUUGCUAAAUGCUAAUGUUAUACUGUUUUAAAUACACAUCAGUAUAUUUGACUCCAGUUAUAUUUACCAAACUCUAAAUUCCAAUUAGAAAUUACAGAAAUUAAAAAAAGGAAAAAGAUGCUUCAGUGAUUAAUUUGAUUUAAGAAAAUAACUAUAUUUUGAUAAUUGUCUUAUUGUAUUUUAGUGAGAAAAAGGAAAGGAAGAAAAAACCACUAAACAUUGCAUAUUCAGAUUAAAAUAAUAUAUUAGAAUGCUGCGAAUAAUCAUUAUUCCUGAACAAGCCCAAGGCUUAGAAUUACUAAACAUAGAUCCAAAGUCCUUGGAUGUAAUGACAUUUAGAUCAUGAUCUCCAGAAU
rnacentral:misc_RNA from 1 species